UAAUGUUUCUUCAAGACAUGUCGAAGAUUAAAUUCUUCGUUUUAUGGACCAAUAUCAAACUCUGUGCUUUAAACUUUUGACAACAUGGCAGCAUGUUGACUAAAUUGCUUUGCAAGUAGAAAGUUUCCAACAGGUAACUUGAAAUCAGUAGAACAUCAUCUCUAUAGAUUUUCAUAGCUGCAUCCAAGUUCCAUUGCAUGUAGGGAGACCAUUAAGAUGUUUUCCCACCAAAGUCUUCGCCAUCACAGCUUGAUCUGGGUAAUCGGUUGCCUGAAAAGCCAGCUAACAAGGUUGGAAAUUUUGUGCCAAAUUACUAUAAAAUACAUGCUAGUGCAACAAUAUCACCACACCUGCAAAUUUUUAUCUGUUGUGGUGUCAGCAUAUUCAACAAGGACAUGACAAGCUGCAGCCAUCUGUUAUGGGCACCACCAAUAGGAUUUAUGAACAAUACAAUGUUACUCAACUGAACUGAAGAUGCAAAUUAUUUAACUCACAGUACACAGGUCUGAAUGGCAUUCCAACACCUGAGAUAUCUUUGUUUAGUGGAGCGCACUUAUCUGAAAGCAUGUUAAAAGACAUUACAGGUUCAAGCAUCCACAUGAUUCUGCAAGACCACAGCUAUUACUUAGUACUACUUUAUUAGUUGAGAGCAACAACAGAAAAAUGUGGCAUGCCAACAAAUGAAUUUAUGAAUAAAAUAUUCUUCCCACCUCCAUGUCAAAUAUACUAAAUAAAAAAAUCAGUAUAGUCGGAGAGAUAACCAACAGAUAGUUAUACAUGGCGGCAUCCUACAAUGAGAACAGCUCAGUGCUCAUAUUUGGAGUAAAUUUAAUCAAAAGCUACCAGGCACAUAUCUCUUUUGUUACAGAUUUCAGAUACCAAAUUCCAUUAUAUUGGUCAAGAUAAAAUUGUUGUAGAAAAAACUGCUGACAAUGGGCUAUUUGCCAUAUAAAGCAGAUUUAGAAAAAAAAAUGACAGAAGAUGUAAGGUUUGAUAAAAAAAAUUUAAAAGCAUUUAAUCCAACACAUUCCGUGGCAAAAAAGGUACACAUUUCAUGCCUAUCAAUCUCCAAGUUCAAUUGAAUGAAGGUUGCAAUCAUAGGAGAAACUCAAAAUUCAAGUUCACUAUAUGUAGAACUCUAUGCAUGAGCAGAUAAAGCCAGUACAUGCCUCACGCUACACUAGGAAUCCGGCACAACUUCUGGUAGGUGAAUUUGCCACAACAAACUGAACAAUUGGCUACAUUAAGUUAAAUGGAAAUCUUGGCUCCUCGUGGGGAAAUUUCAUGAGCAUUUUGCGCACUAAUAAAAGUCAAGGCAUGAUUUGUAAACUAUUUUAGGUGUCAUGGAAAGUCCAUGGGAGGCACUACAGCUAUCCACCCCAACUACUUAGGGAAGUAGCCAUCAUCGUAUACUAGCCAUUUAUGGCUUGGUUAUACGUCGAAAUUUACUACAGGGAAGCAAAGGAUGGGAUAUACUAUGUAAACAGCUAUGGUUAGCACAAAGGAAGUGCUUCAUUUCUGCACAUUCUUCCUCCAUAUGGCACAUAGAAAGAAUGAAUUCUGAAGCAGAACUACUAGAAUAGUGACAGCCCUAGUUGAAGAAAUCCACCUGCGCUAGCCAGCACACAAGGACAAUAAAUCCAAUUACUAUACAAUUUUCCUACUGACAAAUAAUUGGUUGAUAUAAAACUACUGAAAGUGUAAUAAAGUAAUCAGGUAAAGCAUGACUUUGACUAAGGAACAACAAAAAAUUCAUAAGGUGAGCCAUCACUAAGAUAUGAGAUCUCACCUCACAUGCCUACAGCUGUGCUUUGUGCUUCCCAAGGAGAGCCAUGACCAUGAGCACGAAAUAGGAAGUCCUAGACAGGCGGAGGUGCAGCAGAAUUGUUCCUUGUCCUCAGGCUAUGCACAAUUGAGGGGGUGAA
rnacentral:lncRNA from 1 species